CGGAGGGUGCAAGCGUUAAUCGGAAUUACUGGGCGUAAAGCGCACGCAGGCGGUCUGUCAAGUCGGAUGUGAAAUCCCCGGGCUCAACCUGGGAACUGCAUCCGAAACUGGCAGGCUUGAGUCUCGUAGAGGGGGUAGAAUUCCAGGUGUAGCGGUGAAAUGCGUAGAGAUCUGGAGGAAUACCGGUGGCGAAGGCGGCCCCCUGGACGAAGACUGACGCUCAGGUGCGAAAGCGUGGGGAGCAAACAGGAUU
rnacentral:rRNA from 1 species